UUCAUUUUGGUGUUUAGAUUCACAUCAAACUGGCUAAAAAACCAGUCCAGUCCUGGUCUACUAAUACUGGUCUGUGGUGUGGAGCUCCAGAGUCUGGAAAAACAUCACUGAGCCUCAUCGUCAAACUGGGUCACAUGUUUCUUCUUUUGGAAACAGAAGGGAGCUCUAGUUUUGUGGAGCGAUGAACUCCAUGUAGUUUCAUUCCAUUUUAGUUUAGUGUGUGAAUCAUGAUGAAUUCAGACGUGUUAGACUUUCUAUCAGGAUAUCAUGAACAGUCUCAGACAUCUGCUGUUGUGUACUAUGUCACAGUAAACCAGAUAAAACUGAAAACAAUUCCUGAUGGCCUGUGUCACUCAGAUCAGACUAGAAUCAAAACAGUGAUGAAACCUGAGGAGGAAUCACACUAAAAUACUCACAAUAAGCUGUACUUUUUUGUGUCAAUGUGCAUUUUUUGAAGAAUGGUUUGUUUUAAUUAGGGCUGUCAAAAUUAAUGCAUUAAUGUGGAU